ACGGCUCAGUAACACGUGGCUAACCUGCCCUUGGGACGGGAACACCCCCGGGAAACUGGGGCUAAUCCCCGAUAGGUGAAGAACUCUGGAAUGAGUCUUCGCCCAAAAGGCGUCGGAUCAUGCUUUCGGCGUCGCCCAAGGAUGGGGCCGCGACCGAUCAGGUUGUUGGUGAGGUAACGGCCCACCAAGCCUAUAACCGGUGCGGGCCGUGAGAGCGGGAGCCCGGAGAUGGGCACUGAGACAAGGGCCCAGGUCCUACGGGGCGCAGCAGUCGCGAAACCUUUGCAAUACACGAAAGUGUGACAGGGUCAUCCCGAGUGCCGACCGCUGAGGUUGGCUUUUACCCAGUCUAGAAAGCUGGGGGAAUAAGGAGAGGGCAAGUCUGGUGUCAGCCGCCGCGGUAAUACCAGCUCUCCGAGUGGUGUGGACGUUUAUUGGGCCUAAAGCAUCCGUAGCUGGCUGAUCAAGUCCCCUGUUAAACCCACCGAUUUAAUCGUUGGCUUGCGGGGGAUACUGCUCGGCUAGGGGACGAGAGAGGCAGACGGUAUUCCCGGGGUAGGGGUGAAAUCCUAUAAUCCCGAGAAGACCACCAGUGGCGAAGGCUGUCUGCUAGAACGCGCCCGACGGUGAGGGAUGAAAGCUGGGGGAGCGAACCGGAUUAGAUACCCGGGUAGUCCCAGCUGUAAACGAUGCAGGCUAGGUGUUUGGACGGCCACGUGCCGUUCUAGUGCCGCAGGGAAGCUGUUAAGCCUGCCGCCUGGGGAGUACGAUCGCAAGAUUGAAACUUAAAGGAAUUGGCGGGGGAG
rnacentral:rRNA from 1 species